rnacentral:rRNA from 1 species
GACGAAGGGGGCUAGCGUUGUUCGGAAUUACUGGGCGUAAAGGGCGCGCAGGCGGCUCAUUUUGUCAGGCGUGAAAGCCCCGGGCUUAACCUGGGAACUGCGUUUGAUACGGGUGGGCUAGAGUUCGGGAGAGGAGAGUGGAAUUCCCAGUGUAGAGGUGAAAUUCGUAGAUAUUGGGAAGAACACCGGUGGCGAAGGCGGCUCUCUGGACCGAUACUGACGCUGAGGCGCGAAAGCGUGGGGAGCAAACAGG